rnacentral:rRNA from 1 species
GUGAUAGGGUACUUUUUGUAGAACGGUCCGGCGAGCGAUUGUAUGCAGCAAGGUUAAGGACUUAAGGUCUGGAGCCGAAGCGAAAGCGAGUUUGAAAAGGGCGUUAAGUUGCAUAUAAUGGGCCCGAAACCGGGUGACCUACCCAUGGUCAGGUUGAAGUGGAAGUAAAAUUCCAUGGAGGACCGAACCGACCUCCGUUGAAAAGGCGGCGGAUGAACUGUGGGUAGCGGAGAAAUUCCAAUCGAACCCGGAGAUAGCUGGUUCUCCCCGAAAUAGUUUUAGGACUAGCCUCAAGUUAGAUACCUGGAGGUAAAGCACUGAAUAGCCUAGCGGCCGAGAGGUUAGCGAAGCUUAUCAAACUCAGAAUGCCAGAGUAUUGAUGCUUGGGAGUCAGACAGUGUCAGAUAAAUGUCAUUGUCAAAAGGGAAACAGCCCAGAUCUACAGCUAAGGUCCCAAAGUCAGGUUAAGUGGAAAACGAUGUGAAGAUACGCAGACAACCAGGAUGUUGGCUCAGAAGCAGCCACUCAUUCAAAGAGUGCGUAAUAGCUCACUGGUCGAGCGUCUUUGCGCGGAGAAUUUAACGGGGCUAAACCUGACACCGAAGCUUAGGCAAUACAGCAAUGUAUUGGGUAGGGGAGCGUUGUAUACGCGGUGAAACAGUAGCGCAAGCGGCUGUGGAGUGUAUAGAAGUGAGAAUGCCGGAAUGAGUAGCGCGAAUGCAGUGAGAAUCUGCAUGGCCGAAAGCCUCAGGUUUCUGGAGGAAGGUUCGUCCGCUCCAGGUUAGUCGGGAGCUAAGGUGAGGCCUAACGGCGUAGCCGAUGCACAGACGGUAGAGAUUCCGUCACCACCAAAAGAGUUAAGCACAGGGACACAUUUGAAGUCUCAGAGCCGGGUGUUGGUUCCGGUAGAGAUCGAGGGAAAUUAGUACCGAAGUCUGGGAUGGAAGAUGGCGAGAAAAGCUGUGUGUAUUUCUGAGGUGCCCGUACCGCAAACCGACACAGGUAGGUAGGAAGAAGAUUCUAAGGCCAACGGGAGAAGGGUUGUUAAGGAACUCGGCAAAUUGACCCCGUAACUUCGGGAGAAGGGGUGCUCCAGAGAUGGAGCCGCAGAGAAUCGGCCCAAGCAACUGUUUACCAAAAACACAGGUUUGUGCUAAAUCGAAAGAUGACGUAUACGAGCUGACGCCUGCCCGGUGCUGGAAGGUUAAGAGGAGAUGUGCAAGCAUUGAAUCGAAGCCCCAGUGAACGGCGGCCGUAACUAUAACGGUCCUAAGGUAGCGAAAUUCCUUGUCAGGUAAGUUCUGACCCGCAUGAAAGGCGUAAUGAUUUGGGCACUGUCUCAACAGCCCGCCCGGCGAAAUUGUAGUACCGGUGAAGAUGCCGGUUACCCGCGACAAGACGGAAAGACCCCAUGGAGCUUUACUGUAGCCUAAUAUUGGGUUUCGAUGUUGCAUGCACAGGAUAGAUGGGACACUGGGAAACAAUCGCUUUGGCGGUUGCGGAGUGGCCGUUGGGAUACCAUCCUUGCGAUAUUGGAAUUCUAACCUGCGGCUCUGAAUCGAGUCGGGGGACAUUGUUAGGUGGGCAGUUUGACUGGGGCGGUCGCCUCCUAAAAAGUAACGGAGGCGUUCAAAGGUUCGCUCAGCUUGAACGGAAAUCAAGCAAAAGAGUGCAAACGCAGAAGCGAGCCUAACUGCGAGACUGACGGGUCGAGCAGUAACGAAAGUUGGAGUUAGUGAUCCGGUGGUAUGUGAGUGGAAAUGCCAUCGCUCAACGGAUAAAA